UCAUUGGAGUGGGUCCCCUAUUUUUAACUUGUCGCAGUAUUUUUCUCAUGAUGGGCACGUUUAAAAGAACGCGUUUAAAAAUGCACAUCUGAGUAUUCACUCAAAUUGGGAUGAAUCAGGAACAGACAAAAUAAAUGCAGUUUGAGGAAGGUCUCUAUUGUGACGCACCACAUGAAAUGAAGUGGGUCCGAGUCCCUCUGCUCUGUUCUAUUCUGAUGCGUCCACUUGCAGACAAACAGAUCCAUUAACAUCUUCAUCAUACUUGUCUGAGCUUGAGCUAAACUAUGGCUGGAAAGCUUCAAUAUUGCUCACCAUUUUGGUUUCACCACUAAUGUUAGUUUUAGGUUGGAAGGACUGUAAGCUAGAGGGAGAGGGCGUAAACAAAGGGAUGAUCGGACAUCAGCAGAAGGUAACUACUGUGUCAAUAGCCCCGCCUACAACUCAGAAGUUAAUUUCUGAUCUACUCCAAACCACUCUGCACAAACUGUCUUUAAACAUCAUCUCAAAGUGCUUUAACCCCAGUAAUCAGUGCUUGCAGUUGUAUUUUUUAUUAUUAAUAUGGACUUUUAAAUUUGAUCCAAUAGGUGGUUGCUGUCAUUGGUGAGGAUGCAUCAUCCGUUGAAGAUCAUGUGAAUGUCCUGCAUAUCCAGUACAGCAAAGUGCGAGAGGAUAUACUAAAGAAGUACCCUUUGAAGACAACCUCAGGGUUGUUUGAUAAGGUUGACCGAAUGCAUCCAUCACCUGUCAGUUUAAGCCAGCGCUUCAAGGACGGAGUUUAAGCCAGCGCUUCAAGGACGGCGUUUACCAGUAUUGUGCCAAAGGUGCUUGAGCUUGUUCAAAGAAAAGCUCCAUUAGCCAAAGUCUCCAAA